rfam:Schistosoma mansoni strain Puerto Rico chromosome 2, complete genome
AUCCAGCUGACAAGUUGCAAAUAGGACGAAACAAACGUCCUGAAU